rnacentral:tRNA from 1 species
GGAAGCGUAUCGUCACCGGUGUGGCGCCUGGACUUCAAAUCCAGUGGAAGGCUCAUCCCCUUCGGUAGGUUCGACCCCUAUACGCUUCCGCCA